rnacentral:lncRNA from 10 species
AGCAGUUAGAAGCAGAUCAGAAAUCGAACACGUUUGCUUUUGCGAUUCGAGAGCCCUUUCUGGCGCGGAGCUAGGGGCGGUGUUACGUAGCUGCCCUGAACUGAGAGCAGCGUUGGCCGGGGGCUAGGGAGCCGGGCUGUUCCACGCUCACUGUGCGCCUCGGGCGGCGGGGCUCGGGCUCUGUCCGAGGUGCUGAACUCCGGGGCUCCGGCCGCGCCGGCAGAGUGUGCCAGCGUCCAUUAUUGCCAGUGUCUGUGGGCAUCUUCCAGAAGGCCGAGCAUGGGGGUCAGGUGAAACCAGGGCGCAGGAUGGCCUGGACUUCCUCACAGUAUGGUGGCUGGGGAGCAAGAGGAAAAGGCCCAAUGUGCAAGCACUUAUGGAGCCUCUGCCUGCAUCACAUUUGCUAAUGUCCCAUUGGCUAAAGCAAAUCACAUGGCCAAGCUCAAGUCUAUGUGGAAGGAGACUACACAAGAACAGAAAUACUGGGAGGCAUAAUUCUCCAACAGCUGCAAAGUAACAGUCUAUCACAAUUUCUAAUUCCAGCUCUUGCAGCCAGAAGACACUGUUGGGUUUUUAGAUGCAGGGACAGCCCAGAGAUCCAAGCAGAGGAAAUACGUUUGGCUCUGGGAGAGUCUGGAGUCUUAUUAGCAGCUAAAGAGCCUGACUGGGUUGUUGCAUGUGACUCCAUGGUGCAAUACAGCCUCUCCAGCCCAGGGGCCAUGACAAUAAGAAGCCUCCAUAACUGGGAGCCAGUGAAUGAAGGUAUCCUGAACAAGCAUGAAAAGAAGUAUCAGCUCAAACAGAAGUUCUAUGGGUCUAGGAUGGGAUCUUGGCCCCAGAGUGGGAAGCGGAAGAAUAAACACCCCAGCUUCCUGGCCCCUCAGGUGUGUUCUGGACCACCUCCCAGAAUCCCAGCAAGACUGAAGUCCAGGUGCCUACAACAUAACCUUCUCAUUGGCACUCUUUAAUGGUUUCCAUCCCUCCAUCCCUGUCAUAAUUCUUCCCUAUUAGGGCUUCCUGGGGUCACCUUUCAAAUAAACCACUUAUACUCAA